UGCCAUAAUGUCACUUACCUAUAGCUAAUGGAAUAUUUAAGUGGAGCUCAUAGGAGUGAAAAACAGCUCAUACAUAUGUUGUCUAAUCGAGCCAUGGAUCCAAAGGAACUCAGCAUAUAAUUAAAUCAAGAUGUGCAUGUGUGGUGGAGUAAAUGAUAGUGAUGGUAAAAAUGUAUAAGUAAUAAUAAAACUUGGUUCUCAUUGCUCCUCAUAUUGCUAUCUCUCCUCCUCUUUGAUCUUUGCUUUGGGAGAACAUGGGCUAUCUUUUUCUCUUUUUUUUUCAGGUGGGUAGUAGAUACCCAUAAUUCUACUGUCGGACACUUGUCCAUUUUUUCCGCUCAAGUGGGCGUCUUUGUACCCCUAAUACUACUUCAGACACUUGUCCAUUUUUACCUCUCGUCUCACUCUUUUUCUAUCUUUUUCGAGGUUCCGGGCACUUGCCCCUUUUUAUUUCCUCGCAUAUUUUUGCAUAACCCAUGCCUCUUCUGCAUUGAAUCUUUUUAGAGAGAGAGAAUAACAAUAUUUGGGACAGUGAGUGAUAAUAUUUUUAGCAAUUUUAAUGAAUGGUGAUGGAUGGUGUAGUAGAUGUGUGCAAGUGAAUAUCUUAAUUUAACCACAUGAAAAGCUCCUAAGGGUCUACACAGCUCGAUCAAACUCAAUGUGAAUAUAGUAAAAGAUGUUAUAGCAAGUAUGGCUGUGGUAGGUAGUUUGUUAUGCUAGGAACUCAUCAUGUGAUUUGUAAGUUUUCAAAAUAAAUCUCUAGAACUUAGUGU
rnacentral:lncRNA from 1 species